UUGGUGGCAAACCUUGCCGAAGAAAAAAAAAGUAGCAUAGACAGGCAGAAGAGAACCAGGUCGGUCGUCUCCAGAGGGGGUCGGUCGCUACGAUUUCCAGAGAAGGGGGAAGGGCGUCGGUCGCUGUGAUUUUAAGGGGAUUCGAUGCUGUGAUUUGAAGGGGAUUCGUGUGAGAGAGAUUGGGAAGGUAAAGGGGAUGCCUGGAUUGCUUGGCGGAAGGAGGGGACCCAACGGACGCGGGAGGUCGACGCCAUGACUCUUGGUAUGAGGAAACUGCUCCGCAGCGAUUUGAAGACGCAAUAAAUCUUCAGUUUCUCUACACACAAUCAUGGCUGGUGAUGUGCCCAUCCUUUCCGCUGCCUCACGGUACAAGUGUUUCAUGUUUGCUGUGGUCGAUUGAUUUGGGCAGUUCUUGGAGACUGUACUCGCAAUUUUUUUACUUCGGCUGCUCACCAUCAUCCAUGGCUUCUGCACAGGUAACUCAUCUUUGUGGAAAUAUAUCCAAUUCUGAUUAACUCCCUUCCCAACAGGAAGAAGUAAGAGAAUUCAGUGAGUUGGUUUUCAGGCCAAUUUGCAUCUAUCAGAUCUGAAGCCAUCCCUCGGCGUGUCACUGCGCUUGCACGCGUAGCUCUUGUAUGAGGUCCCUAGAUGGACAUUGAACGCAUCUUGACAUCGUCUUUGUUGAUGAACAUGCCUACUAAAAACUUAUUAGGUGUAUUCUUUGUACAUAAUGUAACUUCCUUGUGUUUAAUACUGAUCUUAUAUAGAAACAAUAUGUAUGGAGAGGUACAUGUGAUUGAAUACAAAAACUAUUCAGGGAAAACUCAAGGAGGGCAAUGUUUUCCUCAUCAACAAUUCCUUUGUGAAAUUAGCAAAGAACAUGUAUAAGGCUGUGGAAGCAAGUUCCAUGAAAAUAACUCCAUGGUCGAAGGUUUAGUCGCAGCGUUGACCCUAUUAAUUAUCCUGAUUAUGCAUGUUCACUCACCGAUUUUAUACCUCUACCCUCUAUGGUUGGAAAGACAGACUCCUUUAUAGGCAAGGAAAAUCUACUUUAGUGCAGGCACAAUUAUUUCUUUGUUUCCUCCACUUUGCUGCUUUACUAUCUUUCUGGUCCAUUAUCAUGCUCAUGUUUCAAUGUACAGAUGUCGGAAUAGUUUCAGUGAUUUCAUAUCUCUUUUAAGGUUUGACUGCCUGCUUGAGCCCAGGAUCCUGACAAAAGUAACCUCCAGAUAACAUAUAUUGAGUAAGAAUUCUCAUCUAAAUUACGAGGCCAUCUAUUAUCUUCCAACUUUCAUAAGAGUCACGAGACUAUCUCUCACUAUAUUAGCUGAAUUGCAUGUACUUAGUGUAUAUAAUCAGGUCUCACAUUACCGACUACCUUGUCAUUAUCAUAAUUGUCGGCGACAAGUUAUAACUAAAAGUAACUAUAUUUGUGAUCUCUGAACUUUUCCAAUGACAGGUGAACACUAGCUAGCACCAACAGAACUGAGAUAUGUUAAUCUCUCGUGCAAAUGGUCACAUACUUAGUACACCAGUAUAGUCCUCUCAACUUAUAAAGUACUUUAUUUCUUCACUGCACCAACAUAUCUCAAAAAUUUAUGGGCAAAAAACGCCACUGCCAGCCAGCCACAGACACCGGAUGAUCCAAAUUGCACUUGUCAAUAAUGCUCACAAACAAGAAAAAGGAAAAAAGAUCUGCAACUGAUACAAUCAAGACAUUUGCUUCGAAAAAGAAAAUUCAUCUCCUUGAGCAAAGAUUGGCUCAUCUACUUUGGGCGCUACUCCCUCCGUCUGAAAAUACUUGUCAUCAAAAUGAAUAAAAAAGGAUGUAUCUAGAACUAAAAUAUGUCUAGAUACAUCCCCUUUUAUUCAUUUUGAUGACAAGUAUUUCCGGACGGAGGGAGUAUUAAAUAAAUGGAGACGUUCUGCGUGUGACCAGUGACCACCCUUUUUGGACAUUUUACUGAUGUCGUCUGCCUGCGACAACUAUCACCGAUUUACGUGAUAAGACUUUGUGUUUGCCAAAUCCAACUUAUCUGUGCUGUGUUUUCAGAGAA